CAAGUCAAAGCGGCCUUGCUGGGGAUGUUUGUCCAGAUCCUGGAGUUCCAGAACAUGGCAAGAGGAUGGGAUCAACCUUCCAAAUUGGAUCCAGCGUCCAGUUCAGCUGUGAUGACAGCUAUGUACUACAAGGAUCUAAAAGUAUCACCUGUCAGCGAGUCACUGACACACUGGCUGCCUGGAGUGACCACAGACCAAUCUGCAGAACUCGUACCUGUGGCAGCAAUCUAAGGGGGCCCAAAGGGGUCAUAACUUCGCCAAACUACCCUGUUCAAUAUGAGAACAACGCACAC